GCAGCACGACUUGGCCCCGGGCGCAGGGAGCCGUGCUAUAAAAAACCGCUGGAAUUUACUGGCAGCUACAAAUAUUUGCUUAACUUGCGUCUGGAGUUGGGGGAUUUUCCGGGGAGAUCCUGUCUUGGACUUUCUAAGGUGCUGUUAUUCGGGGCAACUAUCAAAUUCUACCUGUUAAAACAUGAUGGAUUAGAGGGGGAAAAAAAACCCCUCCAGGAACCUGAAAAACCAGCGUUCAUCUCCAUGACCACAGUUUGAACUCUCCUUCCAACUUAACGAUAAUAGGUUCUGUCUUAGAAACUGCUAUGUAAUUUGAUGUAUGGGGGUCAUUUGGCUCCCGACGAGGGAUGGAAGCACAAGCCAUAAAAUCCUGCCAGAGUUUCCUGAUCUUUGUGUGCUGUUGUUGUUGUUGAUAUUUUGUUACUUGGCCUAUUUACCUGCUUCAGAAAUACCAAGUAAAGG
rnacentral:lncRNA from 10 species